UGCCAGCUCUCCGAGUGGUAGGGAUGAUUAUUGGGCUUAAAGCGUCCGUAGCCGGCUUAGCAAGUCUCCUGUUAAAUUCAGCGACCUAAUCGUUGAGCCGCGGGAGAUACUACUAGGCUAGGAGGCGGGAGAGGUCAACGGUACUUCCGGGGUAGGGGUGAAAUCCUAUAAUCCCGGGAGGACCACCAGUGGCGAAGGCUGUUGACUAGAACGCGCUCGACGGUGAGGGACGAAAGCUGGGGGAGCGAACCGGAUUAGAUACCCGGGUAGUCCCAGCUGUAAACGAUGCGAGCUAGGUGUUGGGGUGGCUACGUGCCACUUCAGUGCCGCAGGGAAGCCAUUAAGCUCGCCGCCUGGGGAGUACGGCCGCAAGGCUGAAACUUAAGGAAUUGGCGGGGAGCACCACAAGGCGUGAAGCUUGCGGUUC
rnacentral:rRNA from 1 species